UACGUAGGGUGCAAGCGUUGUCCGGAAUUAUUGGGCGUAAAGAGCUCGUAGGCGGUCUGUCGCGUCGGCUGUGAAAACUCGGGGCUCAACUCCGAGCUUGCAGUCGAUACGGGGCAGGCUAGAGUUCGGCAGGGGGAGACUGGAAUUCCUGGUGUAGCGGUGAAAUGCGCAGAUAUCAGGAGGAACACCGGUGGCGAAGGCGGGUCUCUGGGCCGAUACUGACGCUGAGGAGCGAAAGCGUGGGGAGCGAACAGG
rnacentral:rRNA from 1 species